UACAGAGGGGGCAAGCGUUGUUCGGAAUUACUGGGCGUAAAGGGCGCGUAGGCGGCCUUCUAAGUCGAACGUGAAAUCCCUGGGCUCAACCCAGGAACUGCGUCCGAUACUGGGAGGCUUGAAUCCGGGAGAGGGAUGUGGAAUUCCAGGUGUAGCGGUGAAAUGCGUAGAUAUCUGGAGGAACACCGGUGGCGAAGGCGGCAUCCUGGACCGGUAUUGACGCUGAUGCGCGAAAGCCAGGGGAGCAAACGGG
rnacentral:rRNA from 1 species